GGAAGAAGAGGAUUCCCGUCGAUUUAAGGAGGAACGGACUUAAAGAUGCAAAACACAUUCUGCGGCCAUUUGUAGUAGACAAAAUUCUUCCUGCAUUUAAAAAGGACUGGGUAGCAUUCGGUGUCUACAUUGGAUAUAACAAAGAUACCUUAAAACUAGCCAGAGAUCAACGGCUGACCAACCCAUUUUGGCAAGUCCUGAGGUAUUGGACAGAAACAGUAGAAAAAAAUUGUUGUGCAGAUCCUUUAAAGAUACUUUACAAAGGUCUUAGUAAAGUCAAUAAAAGUCUUAAGAGAGACCUGUUGGAAUGGAUUGUACGAGAUUCGCAAAAAUUCAACAUACAAGAAAUAAAGGAAUAUUUGAAAGAUAAAGAC